rnacentral:ncRNA from 1 species
UCGACCUACACAUGSMAGUCUCCGCCACCCGUGAGAAACCCUUAACCUCUUACAGAGCUAAGGAGUUGGUAUCAGGCACAUUUUGCCCAAAACACCUAGCCACGCCACACCCACAAGGGCCUUCAGCAGUGACCAACAUUGUUUAUAAACGCAAGUUUGACUCAGUCAGAGAUCACAGAGCCGGCCAAGCUGGUGCCAGCCGCCGCGGUUAAACCAUAUGACUCAAAUUGAUUUGUUCGGCGUAAAGCGUGAUUAAAGUUACACCUAAACUAGGGUUUUAUUUAAACUGCCCCCGUGACAACCUUGUUUAUUAGACACCCAUAAACGAAAGUUACCCUAUUCCCCCCCUUGAAUUCACGACAGUUAGAACACAAACUGGGAUUAGGUACCCCACUAUGCUAACCGUAAACUUUUACUUACCCCUCCCCACGCCCGGGAACUACGAGCAAAGCUUAAAACCCAAAGGACUUGACGGUGCCCCAUAUCCCCCUAGAGGAGCCUGUCCUAUAACUGAUGAUCCCCAUUUAACCUCACCAUUUUUAGCUUUUUUCAGUCUGUAUACUUCCGUCCCCAGCUUACCACGUGAGCGAUAUUCAGUAGGCUUAACGUAUACCCAUACCCUACCUCAGGUCGAAGUGCAACUAAUAAAAUGGGAAGAGAUGGGCUACACUCUCUGAAACAGAAAAUACAAAAGACUAUGGUGAAACCCAUGUCUGAAGGCGGAUUUAGUAGUAAAAAGAAAAUAGAGUGUUCUUUUUAACCUGCAACUGGGGCGUGUACACACCGCCCGUCACCCUCUUCGAACUAUAAUACUAGUUUUAACACACUAUAAAAUCCGAGAAGA